UGUAUCAUUGAGUUGGAGCCUAAUGGUAGGUCAGUGGGACGCUAACCUGAUGUGGCCAUCCUGUAUCAUUGAGUUGGAGCCUAAUGGUAGGUCAGUGGGAUGCUAACCUGAUGUGGCCAUCCUGUAUCAUUGAGUUGGAGCCUAAUGGUAGGUCAGUGGGAUGAUGUGGCCAUCCUGUAUCAUUGAGUUGGAGCCUAAUGGUAGGUCAGUGGGAUGCUAACCUGAUGUGGCCAUUCUGUAUCAUUGAGUUGGAGCCUAAUGGUAGGUCAGUGGGAUGCUAACCUGAUGUGGCCAUCCUGUAUCAUUGAGUUGGAGCCUAAUGGUAGGUCAGUGGGAUGCUAACCUGAUGUGGCCAUCCUGUAUCAUUGAGUUGGAGCCUAAUGGUAGGUCAGUGGGAUGAUGUGGCCAUCCUGUAUCAUUGAUUUGGAGCCUAAUGGUGGGUCAGUGGGAUGAUGUGGCCAUCCUGUAUCAUUGAGUUGGAGCCUAAUGGUAGGUCAGUGGGAUGAUGUGGCCAUCCUGUAUCAUUGAGUUGGAGCCUAAUGGUAGGUCAGUGGGAUGCUAACCUGAUGUGGCCAUCCUGUAUCAUUGAGUUGGAGCCUAAUGGUAGGUCAGUGGGAUGCUAACCUGAUGUGGCCAUCCUGUAUCAUUGAGUUGGAGCCUAAUGGUAGGUCAGUGGGAUGCUAACCUGAUGUGGCCAUCCUGUAUCAUUGAGUUGGAGCCUAAUGGUAGGUCAGUGGGAUGCUAACCUGAUGUGGCCAUCCUGUAUCAUUGAGUUGGAGCCUAAUGGUAGGUCAGUGGGAUGCUAACCUGAUGUGGCCAUCCUGUAUCAUUGAGUUGGAGCCUAAUGGUAGGUCAGUGGGAUGCUAACCUGAUG